ACACAUCAGGCUAUCGAUUAUUUUAUUAUAAAAUUUUUACAAUUCAUAUUUUCUAUUCCACACAUUCAUGCGACCAAAGUGAAUGCUAUUCAACGAUGUUCACUGUCCAAUCGCAUGCAUCUCUCAAACAGUAAACUAUUCGUGUCAUGGCCUACACGCGUAAAAAUCACAACUUGUCAACAAGACGUGUUCGCAACAGGCUUGUAGCAAGCUUAUCAACAAGUUGUGACAAUGCUGUUAUUUUAUCAAGUUGCUACAAGGUUGUCACUCGCAACUUGUUGACAAAUUGUUGAAUUGCAGGAUGAUAGUAAGUUGUUGGAACAACUUGUAACAAGUCUGUUGAGCUCAACAACCUUGUAGCAACUUGUGAACAAGCUGGGAACAAGCAGUGCGAAAAAAUCCUGAUGGCAAGUUGUUGGAACAGCAUUACUACAAGUCUGCUGCAGUUUGUUACAACUUGUGCGUUUUUACGUGUGUUUGCUGGAUCAAACCUAGCAAGUUGCUCAAAGCGUGCUAGCACUACUGUUUUCCAGGGAUGUUGUAAUUCAAAUAUAGGACAGCUCGUCAACAUAAAAAUAAGCAAACAUUUCCAACGUUUCGCGUAAACUUUCCGCCUCAUCAAGAGUUGUUAUGCACCUCGUGAAGAAAGUUUUUUACUCGAAACUUUGAGAUACUCUGCUAAUUUUUUCAGGUUGACUACCAGGGAUGCAGCGAAGGACUUUAUCUUGUUGAAUAUUGAUAAUUUUGAAUAUUUACACCCUCUGAAAGCCCGGAAUUGAAAUGGAAAUUUUGCUUUUUUCGCUUGCCUCCACUUUCUAUACACAUUUGCGAAAUUUUUGUGCUCGUACGAGUCGUACAUCUUUGAAGUGAGUAAUAGAACUGUAUCUGUGUUUGAAAACGGCAGUUAUGAAAGUAUUUCAAAUUAAAACACUCUGGAUAAAUGUUAAUUGUUAGAAGAAGAAACUUUACUUUGGCUGGCUAUAUCCCUGGCUGAACCAGUGGCGGUCACUUCACGAAAUAUCAUCAGGGCAGGGGGCAAUUUUGGUUUGCCAUCAUAUUGGCACACUUUUGUGGCUGCAAAUUUCGUUUCUUUAAA
rnacentral:lncRNA from 1 species